UCCAGACUCCUACGGGAGGCAGCAGUGGGGAAUAUUGCACAAUGGGGGAAACCCUGAUGCAGCGACGCCGCGUGAGCGAAGAAGUAUUUCGGUAUGUAAAGCUCUAUCAGCAGGGAAGAAAAAAAUGACGGUACCUGAGUAAGAAGCACCGGCUAAAUACGUGCCAGCAGCCGCGGUAAUACGUAUGGUGCAAGCGUUAUCCGGAUUUACUGGGUGUAAAGGGAGCGUAGGCGGCGCGUUAAGUCUGAUGUGAAAACCCGAGGCUCAACCACGGGAGUGCAUUGGAAACUGGCGGGCUGGAGUGCCGGAGAGGUAAGCGGAAUUCCUAGUGUAGCGGUGAAAUGCGUAGAUAUUAGGAGGAACACCAGUGGCGAAGGCGGCUUACUGGACGGCAACUGACGCUGAGGCUCGAAAGCGUGGGGAGCAAACAGGAUUAGAUACCCCGGUAA
rnacentral:rRNA from 1 species